rnacentral:rRNA from 1 species
UACGUAGGGUGCAAGCGUUGUCCGGAAUUAUUGGGCGUAAAGGGCAGGUAGGUGGUCUCGUUUGUCUGGGGUGAAAGCCUUGAGCUUAACUCAAGAAGUGCCCCAGAAACGGCGAGACUAGAGUACUGGAGAGGGUCGUGGAAUUCCCGGUGUAGCGGUGAAAUGCGUAGAGAUCGGGAGGAACACCAGCGGCGAAGGCGGCGACCUGGACAGUUACUGACACUCAACUGCGAAAGCGUGGGGAGCAAACAGG